GUUAUCUAGUUAGGUAUUUGUGGAGGCCGGGCCUCAUGAAAAAUUAGAAAAAUAAACCAGUCGAAGAAUCGCGGAGAAUCGAACCCAGGAUUUUAUCACCGUAAAUCCAUAUUAAUACAUGCAGUUAUACUUUAAAAUAUGCCCUAAUCGCUGACACUGCAAAGCGAACGCAGAACUACUGUGUUAAUUUACGUGCUUUUGCAUCUUUAGAAUGUAGACUGCAGUUCUAUAGGUUGCGCUAUCAGCUUUAUUUUAUUUUAUAUGUGCUUAUAGUCAUUGUCUUUCUGUGUUUACGAUACAGUUGUUUUCUAAAUUUCUGUGAUAUUUUAGGUUCUCUCAUAAUGUUUAUUAUGGUUCAAGAGUUAAAAAACCUUUGUUCUUUUCUGUGUAAAAAGCCAGGUAACUGUUUGUUUUAUAAAAGGAAUAAAUUAAUCAGUAUUCUCGUCCAUGGAAAUAAUCCAAGCAAAGAGUUACGUGGUGUUUUUAGUAAUGGAUUUCGAAAUGUUUGUAAAACUAAAACAAACUUUGAUUCAGAUGCACAAUGUGGUAGGGGUAAACUACAGCAAAUAUUAAAAUUAACAAGGACGAAAUCAAUGAGUCUUGGCCUUGGGUUUUGUGUCGGAAUGAGUCUUAGCAUGGGAAUUUACAGUUUUCUGAAAGAGGGAAACGACAAAAUUAAGAUGCCUUUGUCGUUGGAGAAAAUUGUAAACCAUGAAUGUUAUUCACUACCUUGUGUGAAUGCUGCACAGAACUUUGACCUCAGUGUUGGAAAUAAGAAAGUCGUCUCAGCACCACCAACAUCUCCAACACAAGGUUUUAAUUUUAUUGCAGAUGUUGUGGAGAAAAUAGCACCUGCAGUCGUCUAUAUUGAAAUUAAAGGAUGGCAUCCAUACCAGAAGCAGCUUAUGACUAUAUCAAAUGGGUCAGGGUUCAUUGUAGACUCUAAAGGUCUUAUUUUGACUAAUGCUCAUGUUGUGGCUAAUCGUUCACAUGUCACUGUCAAGCUAUUUGAUGGAAGGGUGUUUGAAGGUCAAGUGGAAAAUAUUGACCCUCAUGGAGAUCUGGCUACAGUCAGGAUAGAUGCAAUUGAUCUACCAACCUUAGAACUAGGACAGUCUCUUAAGCUACGUCCAGGUGAGUGGGUGGUAGCUGUGGGAAGUCCAUUUUCUCUGAGUAACACCAUUACAGCAGGAGUAAUUAGUUCAGUUCAUCGAGCCAGCAAAGAACUUGGCUUACACCAUAAGGAAAUGGAUUAUAUCCAAACUGAUGCUGCUAUUAACUUUGGCAACUCAGGAGGUCCUUUGGUAAAUCUGGAUGGUGUGGUUGUUGGAAUCUGUAAUAUGAAGGUUACAGCAGGAAUAUCAUUUGCCAUUCCAUCUGACUAUGCUGCAGAAUUUCUUAAACAUACCCAAGAAGAAAAAAAAAAGGCCAGUUUAAUUACCAUUCUAGCAAGAGGAAUGAACAAGAGCACAAGUAUUACAUUGGGAUUACCAUGUUAACUCUAACACCAAGCAUUAUUCUUGAGCUUCUGCAACGAAAUCCAGAAUUUCCACAGGUCCAGAGUGGAGUAUUAGUAUGGAAAGUGGUUGUGGGGUCACCUGCUCAUUUGGCUGGUGUUCAACCUGGUGAUAUCAUCACACACAUUAAUGAAUUGGGGCUGUGAAAAGUGAUUUGAAAUGGUAAAGUGACUGAAAUCUGUAAGUGAAUCAUAAGCUUAACGGCCAA
rnacentral:misc_RNA from 1 species